GGGGAAUGGUCUGGCUAGCGAGACUACAUCAUUCACGAUCAUGCAUGGUAACUCUUGGGUGUGUACACCAAUUCUUCUUGGACCACUCCUCUCAUAAUUCUUAAGGGUGGGGCCAUCCCCCUCCAGUCAGAACUGUGUUGCGAUUAUUAAGAAACUAUUUAGGAAAUUAUUUGAAACUAACAAGAGUCAUGCAGAUGAAUUAUCAAAUUCUAAGUUAAUGCCAGUGAUACAAGAGUA